AACGAACGCUGGCGGCAGGCCUAACACAUGCAAGUCGAGCGAGGUAGCAAUACCUAGCGGCGGACGGGUGAGUAACGCGUGGGAACGUGCCCCUUGGUACGGAAUAGCCCCGGGAAACUGGGAGUAAUACCGUAUGAGCUCUACGGAGGAAAGAUUUAUCGCCAAGGGAUCGGCCCGCGUUGAAUUAGGUAGUUGGUGGGGUAAUGGCCUACCAAGCCGACGAUCCAUAGCUGGUUUGAGAGGAUGAUCAGCCACACUGGGACUGAGACACGGCCCAGACUCCUACGGGGGGCAGCAGUGGGGAAUCUUAGACAAUGGGCGCAAGCCUGAUCUAGCCAUGCCGCGUGAGCGAUGAAGGCCUUAGGGUUGUAAAGCUCUUUCAGCUGGGAAGAUAAUGACUGCACCAGCAGAAGAAGCCCCGGCUAACUCCGUGCCAGCAGCCGCCGUAA
rnacentral:rRNA from 1 species